AGAGUUUGAUCCUGGCUCAGAACGAACGCUGGCGGCAGGCUUAACACAUGCAAGUCGAGCGGGCGCUUUCGGGCGUCAGCGGCGGACGGGUUAGUAACGCGUGGGAACGUGCCCUUUGCUCUGGAAUAGCCCUGGGAAACCGGGGGUAAUACCGGAUGUGCCCUGAGGGGGAAAGGUUUACCGGCAAGGGAUCGGCCCGCGUCUGAUUAGGUAGUUGGUGGGGUAAAGGCCUACCAAGCCUACGAUCGGUAGCUGGUUUGAGAGGAUGAUCAGCAACACUGGGACUGAGACACGGCCCAGACUCCUACGGGAGGCAGCAGUGGGGAAUCUUAGACAAUGGGCGAAAGCCUGAUCUAGCCAUGCCGCGUGGGUGAUGAAGGCCUUAGGGUCGUAAAGCCCUUUCGCCGGGGAAGAUAAUGACGGUACCCGGUAAAGAAACCCCGGCUAACUCCGUGCCAGCAGCCGCGGUAAUACGGAGGGGGUUAGCGUUGUUCGGAAUGACUGGGCGUAAAGCGCGCGUAGGCGGAUCGCAAAGUUGGGGGUGAAAGCCCAGGGCUCAACCCUGGAAUUGCCUUCAAGACUCGCGGUCUGGAGUUCGAGAGAGGUGGGUGGAAUUCCGAGUGUAGAGGUGAAAUUCGUAGAUAUUCGGAGGAACACCAGUGGCGAAGGCGGCCCACUGGCUCGACACUGCGCUGAGNNGCGAAAGCGCGGGGAGCAAACAGGAUUAGAUACCCUAGUAGUCC
rnacentral:rRNA from 1 species